AGGCCAUGAUGGGGGCAAUGUCUCAACAUACUCUUGAAUCUGUCCCAGGCUUCAAAUAAUGAUUCUGAAUCUACCUGCUUGAAGUUUGCAAUCAGAUUCAUCAUGUGAAU